UACGUAGGUGGCGAGCGUUGUCCGGAAUUACUGGGUGUAAAGGGCGUGUAGGCGGGAAUGUAAGUCAGAUGUGAAAUCCCAGGGCUUAACCCUGGAGCUGCAUCUGAAACUAUGUUUCUUGAGUGCCGGAGAGGAUAGCGGAAUUCCUAGUGUAGCGGUGAAAUGCGUAGAUAUUAGGAGGAACACCAGUGGCGAAGGCGGCUAUCUGGACGGUAACUGACGCUGAGACGCGAAAGCGUGGGGAGCAAACAGG
rnacentral:rRNA from 1 species